UUAAUACUCCCUCCGUCCCGAAAUACUUGUCAUCAAAAUGAACAAAAGGAGAUAUAUCUAGACGUAUUUUAGUUCUAGAUACAUCCCCUUUUAUCCAUUUUGAUGACAAGUAUUUUUGGACGGAGGGAGUAUAUC
rfam:Triticum aestivum genome assembly, contig: Triticum_aestivum_CS42_TGACv1_scaffold_146234_2BS